CCCGGAGAAUUUCCACUACGCACACACCCAUUUAGAGGACUCAGCUUCAAGGGAAGCAGCUUCCACCGCAUUAUCCCCCAGUUUAUGUGCCAGGGCAGUGAUUUCACAAACCACAACGGCACCAGGGGUCUGCGCAGGCAUGGCACUAAGGGUCCCGUGGCACAUUUGGCCCUCAUGGAGGCCUCAAAAGGGCAGGACUAGCACCCUCUUCUACAGAGUGUGAGGAAGGAGCAGGCGCAGCAGAAACAAGGAGAGUCAGCAAUUACCAGCCAGCCAAGGUCCUGGAAGCUGACGUAGAGCUCGUGCCGACGGCAGACCUGCCGCCCGUGGGAGCCGUGGACGUCAUCUGCAGGGACAGAAGGGCAACGUCUUUUCUGGGGUUCCUGCUCUGUGCAGCUACUAUGGGGUACCAGGGUGGGAGAUGCCCUGAUGAGCACGUUUGUCAAAUGAAUGACAGGAAACCA